rnacentral:rRNA from 1 species
UAAUAUUCCUGUACUUGGUGUUACUGCGAAGGGGGGACGGAGAAGGCUAUGUUAGCCGGGCGACGGUUGUCCCGGUUUAAGCAUGUAGGCUGGUUAUCCAGGCAAAUCCGGAUAACCAUGGCUGAGGUGUGAUGACGAGGCACUACGGUGCUGAAGUAACAAAUGCCCUGCUUCCAGGAAAAGCCUCUAAGCAUCAGGUAACAUCAAAUCGUACCCCAAACCGACACAGGUGGUCAGGUAGAGAAUACCAAGGCGCUUGAGAGAACUCGGGUGAAGGAACUAGGCAAAAUGGUGCCGUAACUUCGGGAGAAGGCACGCUGGUGUGUAGGUG